GACGCGCCUCUGCCGGGAAGUUCCCGGGCCAUGGCGAACGUGGGGAACCCAGGUUCCCGCCGGUGACUGCAUCGUGCCGGCUCGGGGUGAAGCCUCCGUCCCUCAGGAGGCCGGGACACCUGACGUCCCGAACCCGACAGCUCACCCCACCGGCGGUGCCGUCAGGAAGG
rfam:Kytococcus sp. CTA-901 NODE_9_length_106543_cov_207.982_ID_13, whole genome shotgun sequence.